rnacentral:rRNA from 1 species
ACAAAAGCGCAUGUGUUGUGAGCUCGAUGAGUAGGGCGGGACACGUGGUAUCCUGUCUGAAUAUGGGGGGACCAUCCUCCAAGGCUAAAUACUCCUGACUGACCGAUAGUGAACCAGUACCGUGAGGGAAAGGCGAAAAGAACCCCGGCGAGGGGAGUGAAAAAGAACCUGAAACCGUGUACGUACAAGCAGUGGGAGCACAGGUUUACCUGUGUGACUGCGUACCUUUUGUAUAAUGGGUCAGCGACUUAUAUUCUGUAGCAAGGUUAACCGUAUAGGGGAGCCGGAGGGAAACCGAGUCUUAAUUGGGCGUUAAGUUGCAGGGUAUAGACCCGAAACCCGGUGAUCUAGCCAUGGGCAGGUUGAAGGUUGGGUAACACUAACUGGAGGACCGAACCGACUAAUGUUGAAAAAUUAGCGGAUGACCUGUGGCUGGGGGUGAAAGGCCAAUCAAACCGGGAGAUAGCUGGUUCUCCCCGAAAGCUAUUUAGGUAGCGCCUCGUGAAUUCAUCUCCGGGGGUAGAGCACUGUUUCGGCUAGGGGGCCAUCCCGGCUUACCAACCCGAUGCA